rnacentral:lncRNA from 7 species
AGCUUGGAGCUUGGGCUGUGGUACUGGCUUCCUGCACUGGGCUCUAUAGGACAGCUCUAUCAGGUGAUCUCUCCUGGCACAGUGAAUUGCAGAGGUACAGUGGCUGUUGUGAGCUGCCCCUCACAGUCUCCUCCUCCUGCCCUUUGUGUUUAUUACCGGAUCCAACUGAGCUCUGGGAUGUCCCACUGCAGUGCUCUGUGCAUCUGGACAUUCAGUCGCAGGAUCUGCACGACGAGCUGCCAAGCAGUCUCUCCUCAUUUGUGGCAUUCUAGGCUGUGAAAGGGAAGCAGAGGAGCUCUGUGAGCAGCCAGGAUAUGUUGUAGAGCUGAACUGAGCAAUGCAGGUGGGAGGGGAGUGCUGGGCUCCUGCAGCUGGGACCCAAAGAAGCAGCACUGCCACUGAGAUGGUGGUUCUUGGGAUCCGGAACGUGGAGGAAUUCACGGAACUCCUCUCUGCUGAUGGAAAUGCCCGUUAUGGUUUUGAGCAGAGUCACUUCCAUAGGAGCCUUUCUGGGUCGAGGGAUCAGCAUGCAAAUCACUUUGCUGGAGGAUCUGAGGGAUGGGUUUUAUUCACAGAAACAUCAGCUUAAUUCUUCAGCUGCGUUCAGAGCUGUGCUACAGCGAGGCGUGGUGCGAGCACUUCAAACAAGCCGUAUGCCUUCCUUUCUGGUUCUGCUUUGAUUCCUUUUAUUUUAUCUUUAAUUUGAUUUUAAAUACAGUAAGAUGACAGAGGAAAGGGUCUCCUUGAGCGGUGUGCUGAAUGCUAACUCUCCCAUUCCAAACGGCAGCUCGGGAGCUUAAACCAACACGGCUCGCUCAUUGCAGCAGGUCUAGCAGUUGUUCCUGAAGCUGCAGCAUGUAGAAAUGUUUAAUUUCUUAGACAACAUUAGUAUAUAUCUUGUAGUAUAAACUGGGACCCAAAUCCUUCAAAGCUGGAGAGAUGGUGGGCCUCGAGUUGGGCCGACCUGUAGGUGUGCUAACCCUGGCAGUGACUGCUAUUUUUCUCGGUGUUUUUUGGGGGGGGUUUCUUGGUGCAUCUCAGUCUGAGGCUUCUUCAGCCAAUUAACCAUCAGCU